UACGGGGGGAGCAAGCGUUGUUCGGAUUUACUGGGCGUAAAGGGCGCGUAGGCGGCGCAACAAGUCACUUGUGAAAUCUCCGGGCUUAACCCGGAGCGGCCAAGUGAUACUGUCGUGCUAGAGUGCGGAAGGGGCUACUGGAAUUCUCGGUGUAGCGGUGAAAUGCGUAGAUAUCGAGAGGAACACCUGCGGCGAAGGCGGGUAGCUGGGCCGACACUGACGCUGAGGCGCGAAGGCCAGGGGAGCAAACGGG
rnacentral:rRNA from 1 species